rnacentral:rRNA from 1 species
GGUUAAGUGACUAAGCGUACACGGUGGAUGCCUAGGCAGUCAGAGGCGAUGAAGGACGUGCUAAUCUGCGAUAAGCGUCGGUGAGCUGAUAUGAAGCRUUAUUAGCCGGCGAUGUCCGAAUGGGGAAACCCAGUGCAAUCCGUUGCACUAUCGUUAAGUGAAUACAUAGCUUAACGAGGCGAACCAGGG